rnacentral:lncRNA from 1 species
CCUAUAAUUUAGUCACAUGAAACAGUUUAACCUCAGACAAGUCAAACGAGAGCACGAAGAAGCAGCAAAGAGCGAGCCGGGGUCAGCAGGCGAGAGGAACAGUCACCUGGCCCGGACAGGGCCCAGCGACCCAGGCCCUUUAUUCCCGUCCCUCCGGGCCGUGCGCGGCCCCCACCCCGGCCCGGGGCUCCCACGCCGCCCCCCUCGGCCCGCCCCACGCCCGUGCCCAGGACUGGGGGUCACAACAGCGGGCAGACGCCGCGCGCGGGCAAGUUGGAGACUUACCUCCCCCGGAUGCGCUAGACCAUCAAUGGAGCCACUGAAGACGCGGCUUCGUAUUCCUGGGGGGACAUAGAGUGGAUUUGAACGAUUUGCUCAGACAGACUCUUUCGAAAUUGAAAAAUAAGUAUAUGGCAAAAGAUUAAGAAAGAGAAAAAAGAAAUUGGGAAAUUGCACUGCUUAUUUGAAAUGAAUUGUAAAGAUGAAAUGCCUGAAAAGUCUCGUCGAGGAAUAAAGAAAGGAUACAGACACA